rnacentral:rRNA from 1 species
AUUGAACGCUGGCGGCAUGCCUUACACAUGCAAGUCGAACGGUAACAGGUCUUCGGAUGCUGACGAGUGGCGAACGGGUGAGUAAUACAUCGGAACGUGCCCGAUCGUGGGGGAUAACGAGGCGAAAGCUUUGCUAAUACCGCAUACGAUCUACGGAUGAAAGCGGGGGAUCUUCGGACCUCGCGCGGACGGAGCGGCAGAUGGCAGAUUAGGUAGUUGGUGGGAUAAAAGCUUACCAAGCCGACGAUCUGUAGCUGGUCUGAGAGGAGGAACAGCCACACUGGGACUGAGACACGGCCCAGACUCCUACGGGAGGCAGCAGUGGGGAAUUUUGGACAAUGGGCGAAAGCCUGAUCCAGCCAUGCCGCGUGCAGGAUGAAGGCCUUUGGGUUGUAAACUGCUUUUGUACGGAACGAAAAGCCUCUUUCUAAUAAAGAGGGGUCAUGACGGUACCGUAAGAAUAAGCACCGGCUAACUACGUG